CUACGGGGGGCAGCAGUCGAGAAUAUUCCACAAUGGGCGAAAGCCUGAUGGAGCGACGCCGCGUGCAGGAUGAAGGCCUUAGGGUUGUAAACUGCUUUUCUGCGGGAAGAAGUUCUAAUGGCAACAUUAGAUUUGACGGUACCGUAGGAAUAAGGGGAUCCUAAUUCUGUGCCAGCAGGAGCGGUAAUACAGAAUCCCCGAGCGUAUCCGGAUUUAUUGGGCGUAAAGCGCGCGUAGGAGGCUUAGUGCGUCUUCUGUUAAAUCUUGCCGCUCAACGGCAGGGCCGCAGGGGAUACGAUUAAGCUUGAGGGUGUUAGAGGCUGAUGGAACGCACGGUGUAGGGGUGAAAUCCGUUGAUAUCGUGCGGAACACCAAAGGCGAAGGCAUUCAGCUGGGGCAUCCCUGACUCUAAGGCGCGAAAGCGUGGGUAGCAAAAAGGAUUAGAUACCCCCGUAGUC
rnacentral:rRNA from 1 species